rnacentral:rRNA from 1 species
AUACACAGUAAGCGGCUUAGCGAAAGCGUUAAGUAAUCCACCUGGGGAGUACGUUCGCAAGAAUGAAACUCAAAGGAAUUGACGGGGGCCCGCACAAGCGGAGGAACAUGUGGUUUAAUUCGAUGAUACGCGAGGAACCUUACCCGGGCUUGAAAUGCUAUUGACCGGCUCAGAGACGAGCCUUCCCUUCGGGGCAAUAGUGUAGGUGCUGCAUGGUUGUCGUCAGCUCGUGCCGUGAGGUGUCGGCUUAAGUGCCAUAACGAGCGCAACCCUCAUCAUUAGUUACUAACAGGUUAAGCUGAGGACUCUAGUGAGACUGCCAUCGUAAGAUGCGAGGAAGGUGGGGAUGACGUCAAAUCAGCACGGCCCUUAUGUCCGGGGCGACACACGUGUUACAAUGGAUGGUACAACAGGCAGCUACUUGGCGACAAGAUGCUAAUCCCGAAAACCAUUCUCAGUUCGGAUGGAAGUCUGCAACUCGACUUCGUGAAGCUGGAUUCGCUAGUAAUCGCGCUCAGCC